GACGAACGCUGGCGGCGUGCUUAACACAUGCAAGUCGAACGGUAAGGCCCUUCGGGGUACACGAGUGGCGAACGGGUGAGUAACACGUGGGUGAUCUGCCCUGCACUUCGGGAUAAGCCUGGGAAACUGGGUCUAAUACCGGAUAGGACCACUGCCUGCAUGGGGGGUGGUGGAAAGCUUUUGCGGUGUGGGAUGGGCCCGCGGCCUAUCAGCUUGUUGGUGGGGUGAUGGCCUACCAAGGCGACGACGGGUAGCCGGCCUGAGAGGGUGACCGGCCACACUGGGACUGAGAUACGGCCCAGCCUCCUACGGGAGGCAGCAGUGGGGAAUAUUGCACAAUGGGCGCAAGCCUGAUGCAGCGACGCCGCGUGAGGGAUGACGGCCUUCGGGUUGUAAACCUCUUUCAGCACCGACGAAGCGCAAGUGACGGUAGGUGCAGAAGAAGGACCGACCAACUACGUGCCAGCCGCCGCGGUAA
rnacentral:rRNA from 1 species